GGGGGCGCGGCUAACACAUGCAAGUCGAGCGGAUGAGUGGAGCUUGCUUCACGAUUCAGCGGCGGACGGGUGAGUAAUGCCUAGGAAUCUGCCUGGUAGUGGGGGACAACGUUUCGAAAGGAACGCUAAUACCGCAUACGUCCUACGGGAGAAAGCAGGGGACCUUCGGGCCUUGCGCUAUCAGAUGAGCCUAGGUCGGAUUAGCUAGUUGGUGAGGUAAUGGCUCACCAAGGCGACGAUCCGUAACUGGUCUGAGAGGAUGAUCAGUCACACUGGAACUGAGACACGGUCCAGACUCCUACGGGAGGCAGCAGUGGGGAAUAUUGGACAAUGGGCGAAAGCCUGAUCCAGCCAUGCCGCGUGUGUGAAGAAGGUCUUCGGAUUGUAAAGCACUUUAAGUUGGGAGGAAGGGCAGUAAGCUAAUACCUUGCUGUUUUGACGUUACCGACAGAAUAAGCACCGGCUAACUUCGUGCCAGCAGCCGCGGUAAUACGAAGGGUGCAAGCGUUAAUCGGAAUUACUGGGCGUAAAGCGCGCGUAGGUGGUUUGUUAAGUUGGAUGUGAAAGCCCCGGGCUCAACCUGGGAACUGCAUCCAAAACUGGCAAGCUAGAGUAUGGCAGAGGGUGGUGGAAUUUCCUGUGUAGCGGUGAAAUGCGUAGAUAUAGGAAGGAACACCAGUGGCGAAGGCGACCACCUGGGCUAAUACUGACACUGAGGUGCGAAAGCGUGGGGAGCAAACAGGAUUAGAUACCCUGGUAGUCCACGCCGUAAACGAUGUCGACUAGCCGUUGGGAUCCUUGAGAUCUUAGUGGCGCAGCUAACGCAUUAAGUCGACCGCCUGGGGAGUACGGCCGCAAGGUUAAAACUCAAAUGAAUUGACGGGGGCCCGCACAAGCGGUGGAGCAUGUG
rnacentral:rRNA from 1 species